rnacentral:tRNA from 1 species
GGCCCUUUAGCUCAGUGGUUAGAGCAGGCGACUCAUAAUCGCUUGGUCGUUGGUUCAAACCCAACAGGGGGCACCA